CUUAAGUUGUACCUAAAGGCUGGAGAUCAAAGCUUUCUGGUUUCCAGAUGGGGACUGUAGGGAGGGCUGCCCCCACCCAGGGGCAGGCAAGGCGGAGCACCCCCCUUCCUCGGAAACCCCCUGAGACGUGGCGGUGACAGCUGUGCCCCAGCCCGCGCCCGGCGGGCUUCCUUUUCCUGUGCUCACUCUCCCGACAGGCUGGCCAGCAGCCUGGAGACACCGGUCAGACCCUUUUGAAGGGGCUCCCCAGAGGGUCUUCCUGGACGAGGGGGAGGGGACUGGCAGAGAACAAUGGGCUUCUGUAGCUGCAGGACGCCAGACGCUUCCUGUUAACCCCCUCGGCUUGCAGCUUGGGGCGCAUCUCAGAGGCCUGCACUGCGGAGGGGGACAGGGAGGGGAAUGCCAAAGCGAGCAAACAUGCAGUUCCUUUUCUCCUGUUGGGGGUCUUCUUUUCCAAAGUGAUCAGAAACGAGCUAGCCUGAGAAGCUCACCCCCAAGAGAUUCUGUGAGCCUCCAAGAGCCUCUGAGGGCCCCUGGGGACUCAGCAUCCGGCCCUGGAGGCUUUCGGGUAGUUAGAAACCAGAUAACACGCCCUGUUUUAAGAAGAGACUACAUCUGAUGCCUUCCACCAGCCAGAACUGUGGUGCUGCGGACGAAAGCCGCUUCCGAAUGUUGAUCACUGACUGAUGGAUCCAUUCACGCACGUCACACACAUUUGCCGAGCUUGUGCAAACCAUCAAGGGCUGGGUGCAGAGCUGGCCUGCUGCGUAAAAACUCAAGUCACCAGACCCUAAAGGAUUAAAAACCAUUGUUCAAACAAAUCCCCGUAUGCCCGUGUGAUUCACAAUCGUCACAAGGUGGAAACAACCCAGGGGUCCAUGGAUGACUAGAUGGAUAGGGGCGCCUGACUGGCUCGGUCGGUGGGGCGCGCGACUCUGGAUCUCAGGGUUGGGAGUUCAAGCCCCACGUUGGGUGUAGCGAUGACUUAAAAUCUGGGGCGCCUAGGAGGCUCCGUCAGUUCGGCGUCGGACUCUUGAUCUCAGCUGAGGUCAUGAUCUCAGGGUCCUGGGACCGAGACCCCACGCUCAGCAUGGAGUCUGCUUGGGAUUCUCUCUCUCCCUUUCCCUCUAACCCUCCCCUGGCUCGAGCUCUCUCUUUUUCUCUCUCUCAGUAAAUAAAUAAAAUAAUAAAAUCUUUUUUUUUCA
rnacentral:lncRNA from 1 species